UCGAAAGUGAUUAGAUACCGCAGUAGUUCCAGCAGUAAAAGAUGCCGACAUGCUCAUUGGACACAGUGGGCAGGGAGAAAUCUUAGAGUUCGGGCUCUGGGGAUAGUAUGCUCGCAAGGGUGAAAAUUAAAGAAAUUGACGGAGCUACACCACAAGGAGUGGAUUGUGCGGCUUAAUUUGACUCAACGCGAGGAAACUUACCAGGGCCAAGUAUUGUGUAGAAACGAGCAAUACAGGAGUGGUGCAUGGUCGUUGGAAAUUGAUGGGAUGACUUUGACCUUAAAUGGUUGAAUGAGUGAGAUCUUUUGGACAUGUUCCGCACGGAACAGGAAGGAAAAGGCUAUAACAGAUCCGAGAUGCCCUCAGAUGCCCUGGGCUGCACGCGCAAUACAAUAGCAGGUAGAGAUAGAGACAGGAAGGUGCUCAGAUGGACUAUGUGCUGUAAGGCACAUACGAAAGAGGAAUUCCUAGUAAGUGUGUAUCAACAAUGGA
rnacentral:rRNA from 1 species